rnacentral:rRNA from 1 species
UUCCAUAUUAAACAUUUUAUGGUAUUACCUGCUCUAUGUUUAUUAUAAAUGGCCGCAGUAUCUUGACUGUGCGAAGGUAGCAUAAUUAAUUGCCUUAUAAUUGAAGGCUUGUUUGAAUGGUUUGACGUGGUAAAUACAAAUGUUUAUUUUUUUUCUGAAAUUUAUUUAGAGGGCACAGAAUCCUCUUCUUUUAAUUAGACGGAAAGACCCCAGGAUCUUUGUUUUUUUGUCUGGGGCAGAUUUUUAUAUUUCAUAAAUAUUUUGAUCCUUUAGAGUAUAAUGAUUUAAGUUACCCUGGGGAUAACAGUGUAAUAGUUUAAAAGAGUUCUUAUCAAAUAAACUGUUUGCUACCUCGAUGUUGACUUAGGUAAAUAGGGUAGGCGCAGUAGUCUAUUCUUUUGGUCUGUUCGACCAGUUCUACCUCC